rnacentral:rRNA from 1 species
CCUACGGGAGGCAGCAGUGAGGAAUAUUGGUCAAUGGGCGCGAGUCUGAACCAGCCAAGUAGCGUGAAGGAUGACGGCCCUAUGGGUUGUAAACUGCUUUUGUACAGGAAUAAAGCUAGGUACGUGUGUUUAGCUGAAAGUACUUUACGAAUAAGGAUCGGCUAACUCCGUGCCAGCAGCCGCGGUAAUACGGAGGAUCCAAGCGUUAUCCGGAUUUAUUGGGUUUAAAGGGUGCGUAGGCGGAUUGAUAAGUUAGUGGUGAAAUGUUGGAGCUUAACUGGAGAAUUGCCUUUAAUACUGUUGAUCUAGAGAGUAGAUGCGGUAGGCGGAAUGCAUGGUGUAGCGGUGAAAUGCUUAGAGAUCAUACAGAACACCGAUUGCGAAGGCAGCUUACCAAUCUAUAUCUGACGUUGAGGCACGAAAGCGUGGGGAGCAAACAGGAUUAGAUACCCCUGUAGUC